rnacentral:rRNA from 1 species
AACGUAGGAGACGAGCGUUAUUCGGAUUUACUGGGCGUAAAGCGCGUGCAGGCGGUACGGAAAGUUGGAUGUGAAAGCUCCCGGCUUAACUGGGAGAGGUCGUUCAAAACUACCGAACUAGAGUGUGGGAGAGGGAGGCGGAAUUCCGGGUGUAGUGGUGAAAUGCGUAGAUAUCCGGAGGAACACCAGAGGCGAAAGCGGCCUCCUGGUCCACAACUGACGCUCAGACGCGAAAGCUAGGGUAGCAAACGGG